rnacentral:rRNA from 1 species
GAGUUUGAUCCUGGCUCAGGACGAACGCUGGCGGCGUGCUUGAUACAUGCAAGUCAAGGAGAACAUUAUCUUCGGAUAAUAAGUAAACUGGCGAACGGGUGAGUAACGCGUAAACAACUUGCCUCAGAGAUUGGGACAACAUUGGGAAACCAGUGCUAAUACCAAAUAAUGCAGCGGGCUCUUCGGAGCACAGUUGUUAAAGUAGGCUUCGGCUUACACUUUGAGAUAGGUUUGCGUCCGAUUAGUUAGUUGGUAGGGUAAAAGCCUACCAAGACCAAGAUCGGUAGCUGGUCUGAGAGGAUGAUCAGCCACACUGGAAUUGAGAUACGGUCCAGACUCCUACGGGAGGCAGCAGUAAGGAAUUUUGCACAAUGGGCGAAAGCCUGAUGCAGCAACGCCGCGUGAACGAUGAAGUUUUUAGGAAUGUAAAGUUCUGUCGUAUGGGAAGAGAUCUUUCGAAUGUUAAUACCAUUCGUUAAUGACGGUACCAUACAAGAAAGCACCGGCUAACUUCGUGCCAGCAGCCGCGGUAAUACGAGGGGUGCUAGCGUUGUCCGGAUUUACUGGGCGUAAAGGGUACGUAGGCGUUUUAAUAAGUUGUAUGUUAAAUAUCUUAGCUUAACUAAGAAAGUGCAUCCAAAACUGUUAAAAUAGAGUUUGAGAGAGGAACGCAGAAUUCAUGGUGGAGCGGUGACAUGCGUAGAUAUCAUGAGGAAAGUCAAAUGCGAAGGCAGCCUUCUGGCUCAAAACUGACGCUGAGGUACGAAAGCGUGGGGAGCGAACAGGAUUAGAUACCCUGGUAGUCCACGCCGUAAACGAUGAGUAUUUGGUGCUGGGGGAUUCGACCCUUUCAGUGCCGUAGCUAACGCGAUAAAUACUCCGCCUGGGGACUACGAUCGCAAGAUUGAAACUCAAAGGAAUUGACGGGGACCCGCACAAGCGGUGGAACAUGUGGUUUAAUUCGAUGAUACGCGAAGAACCUUACCUGGGUUUGACAUGUUAGUGAAAGUUUUCUGAAAAGAAAUCCUUUUAAGAGCUUGCUCUUAAACACUAUCACAGGUGGUGCAUGGCUGUCGUCAGCUCGUGUCGU